GUUCGAGAUCAGCCUGACCAACGUGGAGAAACUCUGUCUCUACUAAAGAUUAAAAAAAAACAGCUGGGCGUGGUGAUUAUACCUGCUUAUAAUCCUCGCUACUCAAGAGGCUGAGUCAGGAGAAUCACUUGAACCCGGGAGAUGGAGGUUGCAGUGAGCCAAGAUUGCACCACUGCACUCCAGCCUGGGCAACAGAGUGAGACUGUCUCAAAAAAAAAAAAAAACAAAAAAAAACCAUAUUUUUGUAAUAAGUGUGCCUGACCAGGAAUAAACAGGAAAUAUAGAUCAGUAAGGUAAAAUGAGACCAGAUUACUGAGGGCUUUGAGUAAUAUGCUAAGGAAUUUUGGAUUCUGCAUGUUGUUAUUAAUGUCAUGGUCAGCAGUCCUGUUGAUUUUCAUAAGGUAUUACGUAAUAGCAAUUAUAGUCUUACAAAGAUCUUUUACAGUCUUGAAUAAUUUUGCGUUGGAAAUUAUACUUCAAGAAUGAAUUUGUUUCCUCUCUCUAAUCUGGGUGACAGAGCAGGACUCUUUUAAAAAAAAUGAACUUGUGUUGUAGUGAUCAAGACUAUUAUUAUUCAUCCUCUAAUUAGUAUGUAUUUUUACAAAGAAGAAAUGUGUUUCCUUUGUUGGUUUCUUUUGGUUAUCCAAUAAUAUUGCUGUCUACUGACCACUCUGCAGGUGAGUAAAGAUUUUAUAGUCUUUCAUACCUUGAUUAAAUCCUGAUUUUUACCAGUUAUGAAUUUUUAUCAAAUUAGGCACUUCAAGAAUAAAGAUGUUUGUCUGUUAAAAUUUCAUGGUGUACAUUUUGGAUAUAAUUUAUGUGGUUUGCUGUCUGCUGCUAUAUGAAACAAAUAUUUUAGUUACACUGGAUUUUCUUAGAACUUCUGUGAUACAUUAACACAAGAGACAUGUGAAUAUGUUUCUAAAUGUAAUCUUUUGAAAUCCAGAAGAUCCUUGUGAAUAUUCCACUGGAUCAUUGUGAAAUAUUCCACCACCAUGCACAAUACAUUUCCAACUAUUAUAGGUCAUAAAUAUUUGGUAAUGAUUGUCAAAUAAGCGAUACACUAUAUUGAAAGUUUAAUAGGAAUGACUUGUAGUUCUCUUGUAAAACUGAGAAUGCCAGUUCAAGUGAUAAAUAAUGGUUUUUAGAUAUGUGAUUUAAACCAAAAUAAUGGCUUUUACUGAUUUUAUUUUAUUUAUUUAGUGGGGCGAAUAUUUGACAUCAGAAAAGUAGUUCAAACCUGCAACUUGGAUAGAGGUCUGGUAUAAUUGACAUCUCCAGAAACGGUUCACAUUCUAGGCUGGAUAAAUGAUUUAUUGUUACUUUGCUGGCAUUUUGAGGAUUUGUCACAGAAGUUUUUCUUAAGCUAUGUUUCUUUGAAGUCUUAAGUUUUUUUAUUCUUAUUGUUUCCUGGAAAGCCUCAUUUCAGUGACAGUUUUGAUUCAAAGUGAGACAUUGGCUAGUUGCCACUUAGCUAAACACAUCCCUCUCUUCAUUGUUGCACAAACCCCACAUUUCCUGAAAGUAGAGUCUCCAUUUAUGUACUUUAAAAAACUUUAUUUUGCAUACUAUAUAUGUUCUGUAAAUGCUAGUUUACUUCUGCUUUCUUUAUUUAAUAUUGCAAUAAAAUAUGAUUCACUGAAUUUACUGCAGACUGAUUGUAAUUAUCCUAAAAGUUUAAGGUUUAACAAAAGAUUGUGGCAAAUUUACUGGAGGGGCUCUACAUUUCUUAAGUAACCUUCUUCAGUGUGUUCUCUGUAGCUAAUGAAUAGUAUAUUCGUUGAAACCCCAUUUUUGUUUAAUCAGUUUGUUGGAUUCACCACUAAAACAGUGGCACAGUAAGGUUAGAUUGUAGGUGGUAAUCCUUCUUAAAUGAGGCUUAGGGGAGUUGGCAUGGUGGUUUGUAAACUGUGUUUUGAGAUUUGCCGGCUUCCAGUAAGUGUAAUGUUACAAACCUCAGAAUUUCAUUGUAACCCAGUUAUCUCAAAGACAGUCAUUUAUUUGUCAAGGAAGCCACUAAAUAUAUACAUACGUAUUUCUUUAUCUCAUUUUACACACACACACACACACACACAUCCCCACACCCACACAUCCACACACACCAUUUUUUCUACACAAGAAUUUAUGACUCACUUAGGGAAAUAAUCUGAUUUUUUUCUCCCUUGCCUCUAAAAAUGCAGUGCUACCUAAUUUUAUUGAGUUCUGUAAAAUUUUAAAAAUAAACCUAUUGUGAGCUUAUAGAAAUAUUUGUCUUCAAAAAAUGAUGUUUCACUUCAAAGAGGGUUUUGCUUGUGAUGCAAAGUUGGUUUAAAGGUCUCAGUACAAAAUACAUGUUUGUUUAUAGAUGCUAAGAAUUGUCAGCUUAGGAUUUUAUAAGGAGAUAUUCAGAAAUUUGAAAUUUGGUAUUUUAAAAUCAGAUGUCAUUCUUGGUAAUACUAGUCAUUUUACUUUGAUAUGUUUUGUAAUACUAUUUUCAUACCUUUACUCAGUUUUACAGAUUGAUAUUAUAAAUUUGCCUUUAAAGUAUAACUGAUAAGUCUGAUAUUUGAGUAUCACUAAACUGAAGAAGUUGCUCAUAGGUGAUGUUUCAGUUGAAAACUGUAUUAUUUAUUUGGCCACAGCAUGAUUUUUGUAAAACUCAAGUUUUGCCUCAGAUAUAAUCUGCAGAGUACCUUUAACCACUGUGAAUUUAUUUCCCAAUACUUUAGACCCAGGUGAGGAGUUGUUAUAAACUGCUGUCAGGUCUGGAAUCCUGUUGUUUUCAAAUUUCUAUCUGCUCCUCGUAAAAUUUGGCUUUGGUACAUUUAAAUUAACUUUUCUCUAAACAGUUUUUGGUAAUUUUCUUUUUCAAAUUUGUAAACUCUAAGAAAUACAUACAAAAAUACAUUCAUUCUUUCCUUUGAUUAACAUUCAUUGCCUGUCUGCUAUGUGGUUGCUAAAACAGUCUUUAACCUCAAGUAGCUUAAAAUAUCAAGAGGGGAGAUAAACUGCAUACCUUUGUGUAGUACAUGAAGAGCAGCAUGUUAGGGUGAUCAAAGUGCUCUGAAAGUGCCCUACAGGAACUUCAGGUUGGGGAGGUGGGAGGGAAGAUGUUGGGUGGGGGUGUCCUUGAAUUGCGGCUAGGAGUUUGGGGUGGGGAGAAUAAACAUGUGAUAUAUGUUAGAGUCCAUUAGUUUCCAGAUUGUGUUUUUUGGGUCUCCAAGCUUGUCACCUUUUCUAAUUUUUCACUUGUUUUGUGUUGGGAUUGAUAUAGUAGAAAGUGAGAAAUUGACAUGUCAGGGAGAGAGAGAGAGAGAGAGUAGAAUUGCUAGAACAAUGUUCUUAAGUGGGAAAUGGGAAAAAGUACAGAAGUAGGGGAUUGGCAAAACAGCAAAGAUGCAUCUUCUCUAGUAUAUGAGAAAAGCCGGAGCAUGGAGUGCAGAGGCUGAUAGGUGGUAGAUGCGGAAUGUGGAAUUUCUCUUUCAUUGGUUUCUGUCAUUGAAAAAGGAAGGAAAGUCAUGAGUUGAGAGCAAAGAUAGGGAAAGAAGUACCAGAGGUUCGUGGAGAAUGCCUAAGAAAAUGGUUAGGCAUGGAGGAGAGUGGCUGAGUGAAGGGCUUAGGGAAGUGUGUUUUGAUUUCUGCACAAUGGCAAGAACCCACUUGAGUUGUGGUUAUUAAUUAAAGUAAGACCUGAAUGGGUUUGGGUUUUUUCUAACCAUAUUCAGCAGCACAGGUUCAGGCAUAGAUGCGUGAGCUGGAUUUAAAUGAGAGGAGGGACAAGAGAGGUGGGGGCAUGUGCGCAGAAGUGAUUAUAAUAACCGGCAAUAGAAUUUAAAGAGGGAGAAGGCGCGAGGCAGGUGGAGAAUAGUUAAAGGUGGUUGGACCUGUGGAGUAUAACAGACCUCACUAUGGAAACAGCAGUUUGCGGUAUAGUUUUAGGUCUCAACAUUGGAAGUUGGAUUAUGUUGAAGCAAGCAAUCAAAAGAAAAUUUUGUUGUGAGAUUCUUGUAAUGCUCCAGUUUUAAACAAAAUCGUAUCAUAAUCUGAAAAAAUAUAACCUUAAGGUUUCUCCCAUUUUUCACUUUAAAGAAAUGAUUGAGAUGAUAGUAAAGAGUGUUGUGUAUUCCUGUUGUGUAACUUGCCACUACCAGAUUCCAGUUGGCUGAUAUGCAAAGAAAGUUUAGGUUUAGCAGUGUCCUGUGUGUUGUUGAAUAGAAGAUUAAAUGCCCGAAUGGUAAUAGUUUCUUUUUAAACUUUGGAUUGACAACUUUUUUCUUUUUUUUUAAAGAUGAUUUGUAAAUGGUAUGUACAGGUUAAAUUUUGAGGUGACUUGUUUUCUGUUUAAGAAAUAACUCAUUUUCAGGUUCCUCAGAAAUUUAUUUCACAUAUAAACAGUGUAAUUAUAUAGUAAUGAAGAACUGUUAAAACUGUGAUUAGCCCUUUAGAUAUCUUAGAAUGUAUAUCACUUUAAAUAAAAAUCUGUUGAAACCACUUAAUCAAGAUUCUGCAUUUUUUUGUAGACAAGUAGAUGGAGUAGUGAGCAGUUAGAAUUGCGGUACCUGUGUCCUUUAGUAGUUGAGAGGGGGAGGGACCUGGUGUAGAUCUGGAGGAACUUACUGUAGAUAACAGCGUAAAUACUUAUCUCUGCCAGACUUUCUUCAUGUUGGGACCGUAAGUUAAGUGUCCCUUACUUGAAACGCUUGGGACUAGAAGUGUUUGGGACUUUGGAUUUUUUCAGGUUUUGGAAUAUUUGCAUAUACAUAAUGAGAGAUAUCUUGGGGAUGGAACUCAAGUCUAAACAUGAAAUUUAUGUUUCACGUAUACCUUACUCAUACAACCUGAAGUAAAUUUUAUGCAACAUUUUAAAUAAUUGUAUGCAUGAAACAGUUUUGACCGCAUUUUUACUGCAGCCUGUCACAAGAGGUCAAGUAUAGACUUUUUUGCUUGUGACAUCAUGUUGGCAUUGAAAAAGUUUUAGGUUUUGGAGCACUUUGGAUUUCAGAUUUUUGUAUUAGGAAUGCUUAGCCUGAAUUGAUAGUUAGGCUGGAUGUUGUUUGUGUAGCUGUCUGCCCUGUGCAUUGUAGGAUGUUUAGCAGCAUCUCUGGCUGCUGCCAUUGGAUGCCAGCAGUACCAAGACAGUGCCGUCCAACCACAGCCAUUAAAGUGAAAUAAAUUAAUUGUAACAAUUUGAAAUGCAGAAAGCCACAAAGUAAGUCAUUUGGAUUGUAGAGAUAAAUAAAGGAAAUUCACAUGUAUGAGAUAUGACCAGCAUCUUACUGGUGUUAUUUAUAUGUCAUUGGAAUCUUUUACCAUCCUUUCAGGUACUUACUUACACUCCUUUUAAUAGACAUGUUCACAGGCUCAGAAUAUAGCAGCUGUAUUUGGGCAAACAACUACUAAUUAUCUAAUGAGGCAUUUUCCCAUGGAGAAUGGCCAUAUCCAUCCACGUAGGAUUGUAUAUAAGACUUUGCCCUUGUCUCUUUGGUUCUCCCCCCUUCUCUUUUUUUCUUUCUGCUCUUCUCUUGUAACCUU